rnacentral:lncRNA from 1 species
UUCUUAUUGAAUUAGCCUGAGAUUGUUUUGAUUAUUGCUCUACAUAAAUCCUUAUGAUAACCAUUCUCAUCCGAACUUCUUAGCUGAGCGAUCUACAUGUCUUGCAGAGUAAAAAGUUAUGACUAGCAAAAAACCUGAGCUCCAGUAACAAGCUCCAGCCUCUGAAGGGUUAGAGCCACAAGGACAUCAGAAAGAGGAUCAGGGCAGGAAUUCAGGGACUCCUAGCCCUUCAAAGACUUGAGUAUCCUACAGCUGCUAAAAAUACUGAAGAUCUGAAGUGCAGCAAAAACAGGAGGCAGUUCUACUGACAACUUUUCAAAGAGUUUUUAAUCAACAUUCGAUUACACAGAUAUCAUGAUGUCCUAAGGAAUUCUGAUUCUGACAACUAUCUCUAGGGAAAGAAAAUCUCGCUACCUGCUUAUGAACGAUGGUCUAUAUCUCCUAAGAAAAUCUCCACUUAUAUUCAAUUUUGCUCAAGACAUUUGCCAGUGGAGACCAACCACCAUGCUGAGUCAAAGCCGACAUUAGUCCUCACAAAGAAAGUACGCAGAGAGGAACUGGGGACUUCUAACCAAGAGCCAGCAUCAACCACUGGCCUUGUGAGUGAACUUGAUCUCAGAUGAUGACAGCCUCCAGGCUUCAAGCCUUCCAUCUGUUCCCCAAGACUUUGUGGAGUAGAGACAAGCAACCCUGCUAUAAGCUGUCGGAAUUCCUUCCCUUCAAAAAUCUGCAAACAUAAUAAAAGACUUUUAGAUUUUGAAACUGCAGAAGAAGGGAAUGUGGAUCUAUAUCUCUUGAGAAUCAGAAUGCAGUGAACAAAAGCAGAAAUGAAGAUCAAGAGUGUCAACGUAUAAUUGGAAAUGUAGAUCUGAAGGCGCGCAAUCUGCUGUCUGAAAGCUGGAGCACAGGAAAGCUGGUGGUACGAUUCAGUCAGAGUCCUAAGGCCCCAGAACCAGGGGAACCUGUGGUGUAGCUCCCAAUUCAAGGCAGAAGGCCUGAGAACCAGGAGUCUGAUAUCUGAGGCCAGAAAAGAUGGAUAUCCCAGCUCAAGAAGAGAAGGAGAGAAUUCACCCUUCUUUUACUUUUUUAUUCUGUUCAGGUCCCCAGUGGAUUGGAUGAUGCAGAUCCACAUUGGUGAAGGCAGAUAUCUUCACCCAGUCUACCAAAUCAAAUGCUAAUCUUCUGGAAACAUCCAGACAGACGCACCCAGAU